rnacentral:misc_RNA from 1 species
GUGAAUCAUCGAAUUUUUGAACGCAAAUUGCACUUUCUGGUAUUCCGGGAAGUAUGCCUGUUUGAGGGUCAGUAUUAAUAAAAAAUCGGUUUAUUUACAAAUUGUGACGUUUCCGGAGUUUGGGCUAGCUUAUCAUUUUGGUUUAAAAGCUGUAAAAUUGACUUUUUUUGCGCAUUUUUAAACGUACAUAAAUUUUUUUAUUCGUCUAUUCUUAAUGCCAAAAUCUUAUUAGCUGCGAUCACAUCGUGUGGCUUCGUGUCCAUAAAAUUUUCAUGAUUUAACCUAAAAUCAGGUA